CUGAGGUCAGGAGUUCAAGAUCAGCCUUACCAACAUGGAGAAACCCCGUCUCUACUAAUGAUACAAAAUUAGCUGGGCGUGAUGGCAUGCGCCUGUAAUCCCAGCUACUCGGGAGACUGAGGCAGGAGAAUCACUUGAACCUGGAAGGCAGAGGUUGCGGUAAGCUGAGAUCACGCCAUUGCACUCCAGCCUGGGCAACAAGAGUGAAACUCCAUCUCAAAACAAAACAAAAAAGAGAACAUUAUCAGGAUAACUGGCAAAAUUUCAGUAUGUACUAUGUACUACAUCACAGUAUUGUAGCAAUAUUACAUUUUCUGAAUUUGAUUAUUUUGCUAUGUUUAUGAAAGAGAAUGUCCCUGUUCUUUAAAAAAAUACACUUUUAAGUUUUGAGAAGGAAAAGGGGCAUGAACUCUGUGACUACUCUCGAAUGGUUUACAAAACUAAUAAUAAUAAUGACAAAACAAUAAUAUGUAUAUGCGUAUAUAUAGAGAGAGGAAAAAAAUGUGUUGCAAAAUGCUAACAACUGGUAAAUCUAGGUGAAAGAUAUACCCAAGAUCUUUGUAUUAAUUUUUCUAAAUGAAAUCCAUCCAUAAAUUUAAAUUAUUUCCAAGUAAAAAGUUAAAAUGAAAUGAAAUAAAAGAUAAACCUAAGAAACAUGGCAAUUAUGACAAUCCUGAGACGCCAACUAUACACCUUGCUCAAAAAUAGGUAAAUCUUAAUUCAACUCAAUUAAACUGCAUAAGCUUUUCGGUUAAAUUUGUGCAUAAAUAUUUUACCCCAAGUUAAUACUGAUUCCUUAUCAAUGUCCUCUUUGCUUUCUCACCAACAAAUAUUAUUCAAGGGGAUGUUGCUGGAAGGAAAGACCACAUUGAGCUGAACUAUUGACCUUCUGAGAGAUUUGCACUUCCUCAAAGCAACACAGCAGGAUUGAAACAAGCAGACAGGAUUACAAGCUGUUUACACCACAAUUUCAGUGCCACUCUUAAGCGGAAUUGACCUAGAAACAAGAUGUAUUCAUGGAGACUUCUACCUGCCAACUCCCCAGAAACUACCUCAUACCAAACUUUUCAUUAAGGAACAGGUAACUCAACACUCUUUUUCCACUACUGUUAUUGCUAUUGCUCGAAAUAUAACAAUGUUAGCACUAUAAAAUUAAAUUCUGCUUAUUUAGAUAAGGCAAAAGGUAAUGCCAUUUCAUUUUAAACAAUUCUGCUUUUAAUAGUACAUUUUAAAAUAGUUUCUUCCUUAAAAAGGAAAAUACAAUGUGUACAUUUAUACAAUCGCAAAUAGAAUUUUCUAUUACAGAAUUCAUAUCUCAAUUGUUGUCAAUGAAUGAGCACAGUCUAUAUAGCAUAUUUUAAGUUGGCAAAUAGAAUGUGCCAGAGAAAUAUAUUACACCUUAAGACUUUAAUUUCCCUCAACCUAUUUAUGACAGAUACAGCUAGCCAAUAAAAGAAAAGGAAUGAAAAUAUAGAAAAGAAUCCUAUGCCUUCUCACUGCCCAGUCCUCACACUCAUGAUUCUCCCGGGGAUGAGUUAUAAUUGCCUCCAGGGAGGGAGAAAAAAGAGACAUGAAAUCCGGCUCUGAUAGUGUAAGAGAUUGCUAAUCACCAAGACAACAGUAAUCACAGGACUAAACUACAAAAUCCAGGGACCACAAGCAAAUGAGUCAGCAGCAAUUAUUUAACAGCCUAAAAAUCAGCUUCAUGGGGGAAAAUGCAUUAGGGUCCCAUGAGCCUAAAGGGAAUGGGGCUUUCUUUAAAGCAUUUUUUCAAACACUUUAAAAAGAAAGGAGGCACUCCUUUGCAAAGUCUUUACUACUUUAGAAAUCAUGUUAAAGAUCCAGCACCAACGUUAUGUUUUGUAUCAAUUUUUUAUUCAGCAGUAUAUUAUUUUGUGAAAUUUCAAACUUUCAGAAUACCACAAUGAAUACCCGUAUAUCCUUUACCAAGAUUCGCCAAACGCAGCACAUUUACUCUCUCCCCUCUCCCCAUAUAUAUUUCUUUUCUUUAUUUCUCUUUUUUUCUUGUUUCUCCUUUUUCCUCUUCUUUCUUUCUUUUUCUGAACCUUCUGAGAAUUCACUGUAGAUAUUAUGAGACUUCAAUCCUAGUAUUUCAAUAUGUACCUUUAAGAAUAAAGACAUUAUCCUACAUUAUCCUCCCAUAUAUAUUUCAUUAUUUCUCCUUUUCUUCCUUUCUUUCUUUUCCUGAACCAUCUGAGAACUCAUUGUAGAUAUUAUGACAUUUCAAUCCUAAUAUUUCAAUAUGUACCUUUUUUUUUUUGAGACGGAGUUGCACUCUUGUUGCCUAGGCUGGAGUGCAGUGGCACGAAUUCAGCUCACCACAACUUCCUCCUCCCGGAUUCAAGUGAUUCUCCUGCCUCAGCCUCCCAAGUAGCUGGGACUACAGGCUUGC
rnacentral:lncRNA from 10 species